rnacentral:sRNA from 2 species
GCAUGAUCUCUGAUAUUCUUCCAUCUUGAUUCUUCUUCUAUAAGAACCCCCUCAUACAACCCCUUCUUCUGAUCUUCUUUCUCUUUCUUUUCUUAAUUGAUUUGUAAACUGUUAUCAGAAUAGUGUCAAGUCCAUUGAUAUUGCUGUUGAAAUGGAUUGUACAAACUGUACAGAUGAUAUGAACAGUUUAAUCUGCAACAUCAGUAACAUCUGCUUAAUCAGUGACAUGUCUGUUACAUUACAAAUUGAUUCAUCUGUGUCAGCUCAAGUGCCCCAUAUUUAUGAUUGCAUCUAGAUACUCAAAUUAAAGUUUAAGAAUAAGUUACCC